UAUAUUACAAAAAUUCUCUCCUAGGAUGAGAAUCAUGGAUAUAUGUGUAGCAUGUAUUUUCAACCACAUAACUUAGCUCUAGAGGGCACAACAAUGGGAAGUGCCUUAAUACCCUAGAGGCUGAGGAGAGAAAGUAGGAAUCCCCUUGAGGAGGGGUUUGCGUCUCUCUGGCUAGUUGGUGAGACAAUAGCUUACCUUUGAUCAAAUUAUACUUCUUCAAUUUUAACUUUUUUAAGUUAACUUAGAGAAAAUUCUGAUCCUACUUCUAGAGGUUAAAUAUUUUUAGAUUGAAUUACUUACUGGGUUCUUUACAGAACAUGUUGAGCUUCUUCUUCUUUAGUUGGUCUAUAAUGAAAUGAAACCAGUGUUAAGAAAAAGAUUCAAGGUGCCAAAUAGAAAGUAAAUUAUAACCUGUCAUAUGUACAAUAUGCAGUAAACUGGAGUGACAGACUGAAUCAUGAAGGAAUCAGACAAAUCUUAUUGUAAUAAUUAGGUUGUUUAAAUAUUGUCAAUGCGACCCCAUGUCUUCUUUGAUUGAUUGUUAUGUCCGGGUCAAGAAGAGAUAAGAAAUUUGCUUAUACCAGUUUAUGAAUCUAAAAUUUGCAUCUUAAUGCUUAGAAAUCUUAGAUAUUAGGGCAGUAAAUAUUAAGUCUUGUACAUUUAGUGACUUCACUAUCGUUAUCUGUCCCGCAGAUAUAUCGGAAAGAAGAGAACUGUUGAGGUCGGUCGACUGUUGAAGCUCUCUUAGAUAUCGGUCGAACGAAUUGUUCUCGAAUUCUGCUGUCUCAAAUUCGUGAAUGCUGGCUUGGGAGUCACCGAAAGCUAUGGAGCUUCCAUAUCAGUCCAUGAUCAACCCACCCCUCACCAGUGAGACAUCACAGCCACCAUGGUAACACAUCUUCCCUUCUCUUCUGUUCUUCAUCUUCUUUAUUCUGCAUAAUGCUGGUCAUUGAAUAGGCAUGCAACCUCAACCAUAAUUCUGUAGGAUCGAUGGGUGCCACUCCAUCGAUUGCAUUAUUUGUGAGCUGUUCAUCUAUCUAUUCUUCCCAUGUACUAUUCUUCAACCUGGAGUCAAAAAGAGGUUUCAGAGAACCCUCAUGUCCCUGUCUUGCUGGACUUAGAAAACCUCGUCUACCAGUCUUUGACAUUUUGUAAGGCCAGCAGCCUCACUUCCACAUGGUAGCACAUGUGUUAGGCCUUGACAUUAAAUUAGACAUGUCCGGAGGAAAUCCCAUCACAGGGCUCCACAAGUAUGUCAUCCCACAACCGGAUUGGACCGGCCGGUUCAGUAGUGAAUCAUUGAAUCGAUCCCACAAGCGGAUCGUUGUCCGGUCUGAUUUCGAUGACAGAAACGACGACCUUGGCGUCGGCUUUGCCCGACGCGUCGGUGCUGUGACAACUAAUUAGCUUGGAAAAGUUGAAUACGUCGAUGGGACUUCCACCCACCUCUCUCCACACUUACUUAUUCAUGCUGCAGAUGACCGGAGUGGAACGGCUGACAUAAUUUGUUGACUGGAAAUUGGUGGUCUGAACCCUGCAGAACACUGUGUGUCUUUCCUGAUCACUUAGUCUGAUGUCGACUUUGGCACUUAGGCACUUGGAAAUAUAUGUACUUCCAUCAUGGACCUCACCUCUCCUGUAUGACAUUAGCAAUGGCAAUCUGCCUAACUCACACGACCCAAUUCGAUCAUCGAUCAGGCUGGGAAUGAAUGUAUGCGGAAAAAUCUUUCCAAGUUUCCUGUCAAGUGAUGUUAGAG